UACGUAGGGGGCUAGCGUUGUCCGGAAUCAUUGGGCGUAAAGCGCGUGUAGGCGGUUCGGUAAGUCCGCUGUGAAAGUCGGGGGCUCAACCCUCGGAUGCCGGUGGAUACUGUCGGACUAGAGUACGGAAGAGGCGAGUGGAAUUCCUGGUGUAGCGGUGAAAUGCGCAGAUAUCAGGAGGAACACCGAUUGCGAAGGCAGCUCGGUGGGACGUUACUGACGCUGAGACGCGAAAGCGUGGGGAGCAAACAGG
rnacentral:rRNA from 1 species